AUCACGUUGAAACACUGACUCCCGUACGAUCACCGAAGUUAAGCAACGUCGAGCCUGGUCAGUACCUAGGUGAGCGGUCGUUUGGGAAUAAAAGCUGCAG